rnacentral:rRNA from 1 species
UUGAAAUGGCUCACCAUGCUCAUCACCUGUUCCCAUUAGAACACAGAAGUGAAGCAGCAUUGGGUCUGAUUAGUACAUGGAAGGGUGAUCUAUAAGAAAUCCCCGGUACUGAUUCUAU